AGCACGUUUGCGAAUUGAAUAUUUAUAGAAAAUAUUUAAAUUACAAUACAUUUUUUUUUUCAAAUAAUAAAUAUAAUUUUUAAAUAAAAUAGAAUUCCAGUUAUUCGGAUUAAUGGGAAACCGGACGAUAUGUAAAAAACCGGACGAUUGGAAUUGAAAUAAGGAGCAACGUUCACAAUGUCUGGCAACGCAGUCAGGGGCAGAGCGAGCGGGUCAAUCACCCCGGACGCAAAAUUUUAAAAGGCAACAAAAUAAAACACAACGAAAUGUCCCAGGAUCAUCUAGACAGGAGCCAUCAUUUUGACAAGGAUGUGAUUCACAUUCGUUGACGUUAGUUUCACAUCUUGGUCCAGUGAAACCUUGUGUACAAUUACAUGCAAAAGAACCAGGAGUAUUUACACAAA